GCCCAGAUCACAGCUGUCAUGCCUGAGAAC
rnacentral:piRNA from 1 species